rnacentral:rRNA from 1 species
UACAGAGGGGGCAAGCGUUAUUCGGAAUUAUUGGGCGUAAAGGGCGCGUAGGCGGCUUUGCAAGUGACGGGUGAAAUCCCUCGGCUUAACCGAGGAACUGCCUGUCAAACUGUAUGGCUUGAGACCGGGAGAGGUGAGUGGAAUUCCCAGUGUAGCGGUGAAAUGCGUAGAUAUUGGGAGGAACACCAGUGGCGAAGGCGGCUCACUGGACCGGUACUGACGCUGAUGCGCGAAAGCGUGGGGAGCAAACAGG